rnacentral:rRNA from 1 species
CCUACGGGAGGCAGCAGUGGGGAAUAUUUGUCAAUGGGCGAGAGUCUGACCCAGCCACGUAGCGUGAAGGAUGACUGCCCUCUGGGUUGUAAACUUCUUUUAUAAAGAAAUAAAACGAGGCACGUGUGCCUUUUUGCAUGGACUUUAUGAAUAAGGAUCGGCUAACUCCGCUCCAGCCGCCGCGGUAAUACGGAGGAUACGAGCGUUAUCCGGAUUUAUUGGGUUUAAAGGAAGCGUAGAUGGGUUGUUAAGUCAGUUGUGAAAGUGUGCGGCUCAACCGUAAAAUUGCAAUUGAUACUGGCAGUCUUGAGUACAGUUGAGGUAGGAGGAAUUCGUGGUGUAGCGGUGAAAUGCUUAGAGAUCACGAAGAACCCCGAUUGCGAAGGCAGCUUACUAAACUGUGACUGACAUUGAUGCUCGAAAGUGUGGGUAUCAAACAGGAUUAGAUACCCUUGUAGUC